GACGAACGCUGGCGGCGUGCUUAACACAUGCAAGUCGAACGGAAAGGCCCUGCUUUUGUGGGGUGCUCGAGUGGCGAACGGGUGAGUAACACGUGAGUAACCUGCCCUUGACUUUGGGAUAACUUCAGGAAACUGGGGCUAAUACCGGAUAGGAGCUCCUGCUGCAUGGUGGGGGUUGGAAAGUUUCGGCGGUUGGGGAUGGACUCGCGGCUUAUCAGCUUGUUGGUGGGGUAGUGGCUUACCAAGGCUUUGACGGGUAGCCGGCCUGAGAGGGUGACCGGCCACAUUGGGACUGAGGUACGGCCCGGACUCAUACGGGAGGCAGCGGUGGGAGAUAUUGCACAAUGGGCGGAAGGCUGAUGGAGCAACGCCGCGUGGGGGAUGACGGCCUUCGGGUUGUAAACCGCUUUCGCCUGUGACGAAGCGUGAGUGACGGUAAUGGGUAAAGAAGCACCGGCAAACUACGU
rnacentral:rRNA from 1 species